AGUGAACGCUGGCGGCGUGCCUAAUACAUGCAAGUCGAACGAGCGGCGGACGGGUGAGUAAUGUCUGGGAAACUGCCUGAUGGAGGGGGAUAACUACUGGAAACGGUAGCUAAUACCGCAUACCAUCAGAUGUGCCCAGAUGGGAUUAGCUAGUAGGUGUGGUAAUGGCUCACCUAGGCGACGAUCCCUAGCUGGUCUGAGAGGAUGAGCAGCCACACUGGAACUGAGACACGGUCCAGACUCCUACGGGAGGCAGCAGUGGGGAAUAUUGCACAAUGGGCGCAAGCCUGAUGCAGCCAUGCCGCGUGUUUGAAGAAGGCCUUCGGGUUGUAAAGUACUUUCAGUGGGGAGGCGUGACUCGCAGAAGAAGCACCGGCUAACUCCGUGCCAGCAGCCGCGGUAAUUC
rnacentral:rRNA from 1 species